rnacentral:rRNA from 1 species
AGAGUUUGAUCAUGGCUCAGAAUCAACGCUGGCGGCGUGCCUAACACAUGCAAGUCGCACGAGAAAGUGGAGCAAUCCAUGAGUAAAGUGGCGCACGGGUGAGUAACACGUGACUAACCUACCCUCGAGUGGGGAAUAACUUCGGGAAACCGAGGCUAAUACCGCAUAAUACCCACGGGUCAAAGGAGCAAUCCGCUUGAGGAGGGGGUCGCGGCCGAUUAGUUAGUUGGCAGGGUAAUGGCCUACCAAGACGAUGAUCGGUAUCCGGCCUGAGAGGGCGCACGGACACACUGGAACUGAAACACGGUCCAGACUCCUACGGGAGGCGGCAGUGGGGAAUUUUGCGCAAUGGGGGAAACCCUGACGCAGCAACGCCGCGUGGAGGAUGAAGUCCUUCGGGACGUAAACUCCUUUCGAUCGGGACGAUUAUGACGGUACCGGAAGAAGAAGCCCCGGCUAACUUCGUGCCAGCAGCCGCGGUAAUAC